ensembl:lncRNA
UUUUUAGAUUCUUUCACAUACUUUUAUUAAGUUGAUGUUGCAUUCACUGAUGAAUUCAAGUGUCAAGUCCAUUCAUAUUUUAUCACAUUGGAAAAGAGGCCUAAAAUGGUACAACUUUUUUUAUUUCAACACAAACUAUACUUCAGAGAGGUAUGAACAGGUCUGAACACUGAUGUACAAAAUCCUGAAUGCACCUUUAGUGGCUAUAAAUGGCUUAAGAUAACAUUUAUGGAAAAGCAUACAUAGGGGGAAAUUGCACAAUACAAUUAAAAAAUGAAGGAACUUCCAGGCAAAGCAGUGUGAUUUUUGUAUUUAAUUAAUUUAUAAAAGCCCCCUUUAAAAAGUUACUUCAAGUAUUAAACUAUAAAUGGCAACAUGUUUUCUCUGUGCAUAGGACUAGUCCUAUUGGUAACAUACAAAAAAUAAAAUGUGCUGUUACUACAUAGAUCCUUUACACUUCACCUCAGACUUCAAUACGGCUCAUGCAAAGUUUAGGCAGCACAAUUAAAAACAAGCACAUGGAAGCAGAACAGUUGGGACCUUGUGAGUAGUGCAAACGUUGAUGACCCGUGUUGACAAAUACAACCAUAACUGCAGAGAGAACCCAGGGACGUUUAACCUGUCCAGGUGAAAGAGGGGGCAGGUGUAACAGCAGGGAUGCUGCCUCCUUCCAUGGUGGUUUGACGAUUGUAAAUUGCUGAUCAGAAAGGAACGUGCUAAGUGUGUGAGUUGUCAGCUAAGCAAUGUGAAGGGAAGGGAAUCUGCAUGUGGCCGUUAAUGCUUUGGUGCCAACAAAGGUGAUUCCAGCACUUCAUUCCCCAACACAUCUGCCUGACUGCUGAGCACGUGCUCUCUGUUUCCUGGGACAGGAAACCCCCAAACCAAAGGAAACAAUCCUGUAAACAUUGUCAGACUUCACUACCUCAUGGAAACAAGAUUCAAGUAAUUGCUGCAGAAAACAAACAGCCAAACACCGGUUUGAAUCGGCAUUAAAAAUAACUACAACUUGCAGAUUCACUACAUUUCAUGAGUUAUGGAAUUAAGAAAAACGCAUAUAAAAAGCUGUCUAUAUAUACAAAAUAAAUUGAUAGAAAUGAGUGUAGUAAGUGUGUUCAGUAUUAAAUCACUUCAUAUGCAGCUGCCCUCUUUGGUGCCAUUUAGGGCUAGAAGAGCCUCUGAUGAUGCAUACCUAGCUAUUUGGUAGGUACUGUGAAAGACUUGAUCUGCACUGAGUGAAAGUAGCCGCUGCUCGGAGCCUCUGGACAUGCAUACUUGGAUCCCCCAGCUGUGUACAGUUUCAGACAGUGGCCUCGGAAUUUAAUGAAGCUCAAAGUUGGUUGUUUGCUUGUUUUUAAAUUCUUUAAUAAAUAUGGUCAGUCAGUACUUCAGAUCCAGGUGGGUCUGGUUAAUCAAUGUCAGAAUCUGUGACUUGGUAAAUUUGCCAGACACUAAUGCUGCUGUAAAUGCUGCAGUUUUCCUCCUCUUGGGGCUCUGGUAAGCUACAAACGGACCAUACUUCAGAUCAGUCAAGAACAACACUGAGUGCAUAUUGAAUGAUACUGAAUGUAACCAAAACCUCCAACCCCAUAAGAUUAGUUACAGUAACAGAAGAGCCACAAGAGGUCAAAUGACGGAAGGAACAGUACCUGAAAAGUGCAGGCAUUUAGCACCCUGGAGAACAGGGCUGGUUUCUAAGAACAGUAUACCAAAAGCAGCUUGGUACCUGCAAAUUCCACACUCAAGAGACCAGCUUUAACAAAGUUACUGUAAUUUCUACUCAAAUCACUAAAAAUAGAAGUUCCCAAACUCCCUCUAAAAUAACCUUCUGAAUUUUUAAAGUGGAAGUUUUUAAUCAAAGGCUUGUGAUGUGUAUAACCAGUGACACUGCAGUCUUGGGUGAUGCUGCAGGAAGCAUGUUAUGACAGAAGACUGCACCCUGUCCCCAUCAAGUGCCUUUGGUAGGAGCAGCAAUGAUGUGUGUGGUGUGCGCUCUGAAUAAAUAAUCCUAAGGAAAAAAACAGUUUUAAGUAUUUUCUAUUAAUGGAUCUGCUGCCUCAUCUUCACAGGGACAGCUUUAUCAUCGCAAGACAUUUCAGGAACCCAGAGGACAAUUCACACUGAAAUCUUGCCCUGCCUCAGGCUUCUUUCUUUUUUCCACACUGAGAGUUCAAUAACAUUCUGUGUGUAUGACUCGUGUGGGUAUGUGGAUUUUUUUUAAGGAGAAAAGCAAUAAGAAUUACUAAAGCAUGGUUUGUAAUUGCAGCCAAUGUCAACUAUUCUGUAGUAACUACUACAGAAUAUGGCUUGCAAUAGUAAUUUGAUGGAUCUAAAAGCUGAAGGGCUGUUACUUUUAGUGACAAGCUAGGUAUUUUCAAGAAUGCUGAUACAGAGUAGGUUAAAGCACAAACCCAGCGUGUACAACAUGACCCAGCACCCUGAACAGUUGGUUUCUCAGGAUCCAUCUUCCUUCUGCUCUUGCUGCAUUCACUGCAAGUUCUCAGCGGAUGGGGCAAAGGGCCCAUUUUCUGGAGCACCCUGACAGCCCCCAGCCACUGCUGGCAGCAGUACCAAAGCCUGCUUGAGCUGAACAGCCAAACAGCUGUUUGUCCUCCCCAACUCGGGCAGCAGGGGGUGAGCAAUUAUAUUGUGCAGCACUUGCGGUUCUUGGGCUUUAUUCCUCUCGCUCUCCUGCUCCUUUUUAUUACAAUUAUUAUUAUGUUUUACUUUAUUCCAGUUAUUAAACUGUUCUUAUCUCAAUCCAGGGGUUUUACCUUUUUCUGAUUCUCCCAAUCCCACCAGGGCCAGAGGAAGCAAACAGGUGGCUGUGUGGUACUCAGUUGCUGCCUGGGGUUAGACUGUGACAGCAUGUAGUAUGUAUUAUCUCAGCUGUAAGACACUGAUGUAGUAAAAGCCACAUGAUACCCUCGGCCCUCCAUUACACUUCCACCUGUGUUUGGGGCUGCAAAUUUUGGUAUUCAGAACAAGCCACUUAAACUUGCAGCCUUCUGUCUCUAUCAUCUCCUUCAAGAAAUUUUGCUGCUGCAUUACUACUGCAAGCUUAUGUUCAGAUGAGCACUUCUCACUUGACAAGAAAAAGCUAAACCUUCCAGAUUAAUGUAUGGCAAAUGGUUUUUGUAAGUAAGUUUUAAAGUUAGCAAAUGCAAAAUUCCUUGUACAAAGUUGGAAGAAACAUUCUGCAACUUUUAUAAAACAUGCGAGUUUGGACCAUUACUUCUUUCUCAAGAACAUCCAAUAGUCACCCAAUUGCGUUCAUCAGUUCUCAAAGUAUUCUUGUUCUAGAAGAUUAAUAUCUAAGAAAAAUUUAUUAUUUCCAAAGAAAAAACCCCCAACGUGUUUUAAACC